rnacentral:misc_RNA from 1 species
UCUCCGUUGGUGAACAGCGGAGGGAUCAUUAUCGAGUUUAUAACUCCCAAACCCUAUGUGAACUUACCACUUGUUGCUUCGGCGCGCGCUUCGGUGCCGCCGAGGACACUUAAACUCUUUGUUUUUAUAAGCAUUUCUGAGUGGCCGAAAGGCAAAAUACAAAUGAAUCAAAACUUUCAACAACGGAUCUCUUGGUUCUG